rnacentral:rRNA from 1 species
UUCGCAAUGCCCGAAAGGGUGACGAAGCGACGCCGCGUGCGGGAAGAAGGCCUUCGGGUUGUAAACCGCUGUCGGGAGUUAGGAAAUGCAGGUGCGUUAAUAGCGCACUUGCUUGACUAAGGCUCCAGAGGAAGCCACGGCUAACUCUGUGCCAGCAGCCGCGGUAAUACAGAGGCGGCAAGCGUUGUUCGGAAUUAUUGGGCGUAAAGAGCACGUAGGCGGCCUUGCAAGUCAGUUGUGAAAGCCUUCCGCUUAACGGAAGAACGGCAUCUGAUACUACAGGGCUUGAGUACGGGAGGGGAGAGUGGAACUUCUGGUGGAGCGGUGAAAUGCGUAGAUAUCAGAAGGAACGCCGGCGGCGAAAGCGACUCUCUGGUCCGAAACUGACGCUGAGUGUGCGAAAGCUAGGGGAGCAAACGGGAUUAGAUACCCCGGUAGUCCUAGCCGUAAACGAUGGGCACUAAGUAGAGGGGUUUUA